rnacentral:rRNA from 1 species
UACGGAGGGAGCUAGCGUUGUUCGGAAUUACUGGGCGUAAAGCGCACGUAGGCGGCUUUUUAAGUCAGGGGUGAAAUCCCGGGGCUCAACCCCGGAACUGCCCUUGAAACUGGAGAGCUAGAAUCUUGGAGAGGCGAGUGGAAUUCCGAGUGUAGAGGUGAAAUUCGUAGAUAUUCGGAAGAACACCAGUGGCGAAGGCGGCUCACUGGUCCGGUACUGACGCUGAGGUGCGAAAGCGUGGGGAGCAAACAGG